GAUGAACGCUGGCGGCGUGCCUAACACAUGCAAGUCGAACGGAGUUUUAUGAAGUUUUCGGACGGAAUAAAACUUAGUGGCGGACGGGUGAGUAACGCGUGGGUAACCUGCCUCAUACAGGGGGAUAACAGCUGGAAACGGCUGCUAAAACCGCAUAAGAUUGUAGUGCCGCAUGACACAGCAAUCAAAUAUGUAUAGGUAUGAGAUGGGCCCGCGUCUGAUUAGCUAGUUGGUGAGGUAAUGGCCCACCAAGGCGACGAUCAGUAGCCGGCUUGAGAGAGUGACCGGCCACAUUGGGACUGAGACACGGCCCAAACUCCUACGGGAGGCAGCAGUGGGGAAUAUUGGGCGAUGGGCGCAAGCCUGACCCAGCGACGCCGCGUGAGUGAAGAAGUAUUUCGGUAUGUAAAGCUCUAUCAGCAGGGAAGAUAAUGACAGUACCUGACUAAGAAGCCCCGGCUAACUACGUGCCAGCAGCCGCGGUAA
rnacentral:rRNA from 1 species